rnacentral:rRNA from 1 species
ACUCCUACGGGAGGCAGCAGUGGGGAAUCUUGGACAAUGGGGGCAACCCUGAUCCAGCCAUGCCGCGUGAGUGAUGAAGGCCUUAGGGUCGUAAAGCUCUUUCGCCUGUGAUGAUAAUGACAGUAGCAGGUAAAGAAACCCCGGCUAACUCCGUGCCAGCAGCCGCGGUAAUACGGAGGGGUUAGCGUUGUUCGGAAUUACUGGGCGUAAAGCGCGCGUAGGCGGAUUAGUCAGUUAGAGGUGAAAUCCCAGGGCUCAACCCUGGAACUGCCUUUAAUACUGCUAGUCUUGAGUUCGAGAGAGGUGAGUGGAAUUCCGAGUGUAGAGGUGAAAUUCGUAGAUAUUCGGAGGAACACCAGUGGCGAAGGCGGCUCACUGGCUCGAUACUGACGCUGAGGUGCGAAGUGU